rnacentral:rRNA from 1 species
UACGUAGGGGGCAAGCGUUGUCCGGAUUUAUUGGGCGUAAAGAGCGUGUAGGCGGCCAUGCAGGUCAGCUGUGAAACUCGAGGCUCAACCUCGAGACGUCGGUUGAAACCGUAUGGCUAGAGUCCGGAAGAGGAGAGUGGAAUUCCCGGUGUAGCGGUGAAAUGCGCAGAUAUCGGGAAGAACACCUAUGGCGAAGGCAGCUCUCUGGGACGGUACUGACGCUGAGACGCGAAAGCGUGGGGAGCGAACGG